UACGUAGGGUGCGAGCGUUGUCCGGAAUUAUUGGGCGUAAAGAGCUCGUAGGCGGCCUGUCGCGUCGGUUGUGAAAGCCCGGGGCUUAACCCCGGGUCUGCAGUCGAUACGGGCAGGCUAGAGUUCGGUAGGGGAGAUCGGAAUUCCUGGUGUAGCGGUGAAAUGCGCAGAUAUCGGGAGGAACACCAGUGGCGAAGGCGGCUUCUUGGCCUGUUCUUGACGCUGAGGCGCGAAAGCUAGGGGAGCAAACGGG
rnacentral:rRNA from 1 species